CUCCUACGGGAGGCAGCAGUGAGGAAUAUUGGUCAAUGGCCGAGAGGCUGAACCAGCCAAGUCGCGUGAGGGAAGAAUGUCCUAUGGAUUGUAAACCUCUUUUGUCAGGGAGCAAAGUCACCCACGUGUGGGUGUUGGAGAGUACCUGAAGAAAAAGCAUCGGCUAACUCCGUGCCAGCAGCCGCGGUAAUACGGAGGAUGCGAGCGUUAUCCGGAUUUAUUGGGUUUAAAGGGUGCGUAGGCGGACUGUCAAGUCAGCGGUAAAAUACGGGGGCUCAACCUCCGCCCGCCGUUGAAACUGACGG
rnacentral:rRNA from 1 species